UUCAAAAAUAGGUCUCAGUUCGGACUGUAGGCUGCAACUCGCCUACACGAAGUUGGAAUUGCUAGUAAUCGUGGAUCAGCAUGCCACGGUGAAUACGUUCCCGGGCCUUGUACACACCGCCCGUCACACCAUGGGAGCCGGUAAUACCCGAAGUCAGUAGUCCAACCUCGUGAGGACGCUGCCGAAGGUAGGAUUGGCGACUGGGGUGAAGUCGUAACAAGGUAAC
rnacentral:rRNA from 1 species